AAACGAGUAUCAUCUUGUGCAAUUCUCUCCUGCACUGUUUACACUCUCAGUCACCUUUUCAAUCGCUUCUCGUAAAACAAAAACUCCUGUGAGCAUCGGGCACAGCUGCAGAAUUGCAGGCCCAGGCACAAGGCUGGUGAGAAGAGGUGAAGGCAACUGACAAGGCUGAGGGAGGGAUCUGGAAGCUUCUGGAUUGUUCAACCUAUUCCAACUCAACCAAGAAAAGGAAACAGUGGUACAAUGACACAGCGAGCCUCUGGUGCUCUUCACAGCACAGGCUUCUCGCCUUUGAAUGGUCUGCAGAACAGAGCGUCUGCUCCAAGGCUCUAGCUUUCUGCUAAGUUGUGGCGUGGCAUUGACCCCAAGUCCUCAGCAGACUCCAAGGAAACAUUCCCCUGGCACAUGAGGGCCUGAUGCCCUGCUACAGAGACUCUCCUCCCACUCUUUUCCAUUGUCUCUUUGAGAAUCCAGUUCAGCUUCAAAAACAAGAGUAAUAUCAGUUCUGCUCUGCCUAAGACUGGGAGUUUUCUGGAAGGGAAGCCAUAAGGCUAUGACUCUUUCUGUGACAAUAACAUUUACAGGUGUGUUUGGAGGAAAAUGGCCUUUCUGGAAAUGAUUUAUCUCAAGGCCAUCACCCUAGCAGCAGAGAAAAAGUUCCCUUGUGUCUACAAGGGUAACACAGAAAUAACGGGGACAUGGGGGAACCUGUCCUGAGGAAUCUACAAGUGGGAAGUCUCUUCCCCGCCUUGACCUGAGCAUGCUCUUUAGAACCUCAUUACAUCACAGUGAGGACACAGCCAAGUGGUGCCUGAAGGAACACAGCCAAGCUAGUAACCAACUGAAAAGGACCUACAUCUUGGGCCUGUUUUAUACCGAAACUUUCAGGCAUGCUCCCUUCCAGGAAGUACAAAACAAACAAACACAGAAGUUACAUCGUCUGUUCCUGUCAGCGCCUCAGCUGGACUUCCUGUUUUUAUAUGUGAGCUUCAUCCAUUCUGGGAUGGUCAGAGAGGAAGAAGAGCUGGAGUCAGAGAUUCUCUGAAGCACGGGGAGUAGAAAUGAAGGAAUUGAAUACCUUAAGAGACAAUACAGCUGAGAGGCGUGAAGAAUCCUAGCUCAGAGACCCUUCCACCAUGAGUGUUACAGUUCAGCUUCACACAACUUCCCAUUCCAUCUUGCUCCACACAAGACUUGUGUAUCCCACAGCAUAUGCUAACCAAAGUCAGAAGAAACCCUGAGAACAGACCUGACAACCCCCCCUGCAAGGGAACCAUACUCAUAGGGCACUAGGUAAGGCCUCCUGGUCAUCUUAGCGGUGGAACAGGCACCCUGCUUUAGGAUGCCGUAUUCAAAGCAGUGGCUUUCAGUGGGUAGCAGGACUCAGCUCUGAAAUGAGCACCCUGUAAAGAUGGCUCCCCAUUAGCGAGUUUUCUUCAGCAGAUCCUGUGUACUGUCGAGUUUCUGUGUGUCCCUCCUGCCUCUUAAAAUAAACCUGAAAGCUAAUUUACUUACACAAGACAGCCAAAUUGCAGAAAAGUCACCACCAACUCCUCCCCAGAGCAGAUUAACAGCCUGCAGCCAACCGGGGGUGGGGGUGGGGCGGCAUGUAAUUGCUCCCCAGCCUGUGAGCAAUCUCUUUCCUUCCAAAUCUUUCACUGAGACUGGAGUCUGAACACAAAGUCAUAAUCGUCUAGGAGAAAAUGCCUGGGGACUAAUUGAUACCAGUUCUGGGGCAGCUGGGUCCUGUGGUGAAGAAGCUGUUUCCCACGUUCAUGACUCUCUAGCCCUGUGAUUGGUGGAGAUGGGGAGAAGCAGAUAACGGGAGUGUGGAAGGAGGAAAGCAAAGAUCUUAGAUUCCAAACAUCGAAAAUGUAGAGGAAGAGGAGGGGAGAGGGGCGUGCCUGUCAGCUUCACACUAGUUCCCCAUAGGCAAAAACAAAACAAACAAAAUCAGUUUUUCUUCUUUCUUUCCUUCUGUCCUUUCCCUUUCUUUUUUCCUUUUGUUUUUGGGGGGGCUUUUUUUUACCCCUCUUCAAAUAGUUUGGGAGUUCAUGGCAAAGCAGUUACAAAUGGCCCCGUUUCAGAACAACCAGCAUUUGGCUUCUCUCCUCAGCUGGGUGCACACAGGGAUCAAGGGACUGUAAGCAAGAGCCGAGCACACUCUGAAGCAAGCAGCUGCUUGGGGGAACCUGUUGGGAUCGCAAAGUCUGGGGGUUCAUCCUCCAAAGGAGGCAGCAGACAGACAGCUGAAGUGGGGGCCGAGGUCACACUGAGUUUUCUCAUUAGCACCAGAACCCAAACCCCAGCUCUGACUCAGCCCAGGGCUCUCCCGUGAGCGUUUGAGCAAUAUUCACUGAGCGCUGUUCUUCUGCGACUCCAACAACGGGGUUAGAAAGAGGGCCCAUUACGUGAUGGUCCCCUGGGGUGGGUGGAUUGGACAGAUAGUCGCAACUAGGUCAUUUCCACCCUUGAAGCCAGGCAAUGAGCCCGGCUGCUAAGGGACACUGGGGUCUGUCCUCAAGACAAACUUGGUCUCUGAGUCAUCUAUGUGUCUGAAGGGUUUUGGAUCAUUAAAUCUGUUUGGCGGAGACAGAGUGGAUGCAUGGGGAUGGCCUAACAAAGGCUGCUCAGGCAGCCUCUGCAGUUCCUCGGUCUUCACCCGCUUGUGUAAUUGCUGUCU